rnacentral:rRNA from 1 species
ACCUACAGCCAUACCACCCUGAACGCGCCCAAUCUCGUCUGAUCUCGGAAGCUAAGCAGGGUCAGGCCUGGUUAGUACUUGGAAGAGGGGCUGGGUGGAGGACUCAGCCAGUGGGGUC